rnacentral:rRNA from 1 species
UACAGAGGUCUCAAGCGUUGUUCGGAUUCAUUGGGCGUAAAGGGUGCGUAGGCGGCGCGGUAAGUCGGGUGUGAAAUCUCGGAGCUCAACUCCGAAAUUGCACCGGAUACUGCGUGACUCGAGGACUGUAGAGGAGAUCGGAAUUCACGGUGUAGCAGUGAAAUGCGUAGAUAUCGUGAGGAAGACCAGUUGCGAAGGCGGAUCUCUGGGCAGUUCCUGACACUGAGGCACGAAGGCCAGGGGAGCAAACGGG